rnacentral:rRNA from 1 species
UACGUAGGGGGCGAGCGUUGUCCGGAUUUAUUGGGCGUAAAACGCUUGUAGGUGGCUACGUCAAGUCGGACGUGAAAUCUCCCGGCUUAACUGGGAGGGGUCGCUCGAUACUGGCGAGCUCGAGGCAGGUAGGGGGAAGCGGAAUUCCCGGUGUAGUGGUGGAAUGCGUAGAUAUCGGGAGGAACACCAGUGGCGAAGGCGGCUUCCUGGACCUGUUCUGACACUGAGACGCGAAAGCGCGGGGAGCGAACGGG